rnacentral:rRNA from 1 species
UAUGUCCCUGCUCCUUGCACACACCGCCCAUCAAACCAUCCGAGCUGGUGUUGGACGAGGCUCUGCUCAUAUGGGCAGAUUCGAAUCUGAUGUCAGUGAGGAGGGUUAAGUUGUAACAAGGUAUCCGUAGGGGAACCUGCGGAUGGAUCACCUCCACAAAACAAGGCGGGCCACAGGCACAUACAUUUCACUUUACCAAACUUUUUUUACCCUAUUUGAUAUAGUGUUUCUGAAGGUUACUAUUAAUGGGGAUUGAAGAAAAACUCGAGCAGGUUCAAAACAGGGUAGAAAGGCGUUUUACCAACAUAGGUAAAGGCAAAUAUGCCAGAAUAAUAAGGCUUGCAAAGAAACCUACAGAGAGUGAAUAUAUAAAGGUACU